GCUUGAUCCAAACUUUCCAGUAGAUUUCCAAUGACUCUUGUCAGCUACGCAACCAAGCUAGUUCAAAGAGCCCAAGAAGCACUUGCAUCCAAAUGAAAUCUAUAUUUGGUAAUUCUUAAAAUACCAUUUUUCCAAGGCUCAUAGAGCACAUUGCUUACUCAGAUAAUGUGCAUGCCUUUCCUGUGAGGUACUUUUUUGAAAUGUGAUCAUGGGUCACUUUAUGUUAAACUUACUUACUCUACACAUAGGAUGAGUAGUGCCAGAUAAAGUACUGUCAUUAAAAGCAUUUUUAUUAAGGGGAUUGGGAGGGGAACCCUUUAAGCAGUGUUAUCGAGCUCUUUGUUGAACCAGGUGGGAUAUUCAUAUGAAUAGAAUCUCUUCAAACCUAGACCUCAGCCAUAGCACACCUGGCCUAUGUUUGAAAAAGAAAGUCACUCUUGUUUGGCUACAGAGUCGGCUACAAAGAGCCAAGACAACCUUAAUUUAUCCAUUAAGAAUAGAGGCCCAUAUUUAAGAGUCAUCAGCAAUAAAGGAAAAUACACUGGAUCAUUUCAAGUGCAUGCUAAUCAUUUAAUGUAAUAAACGGAGCAACUCUAAUUAUCUCCCAAGGAAAUGAUUUCACACUAAAACAAUGGGAAUGAAGAGGUUACUUCAGGAGCAUAAUACACAGCUGAAAAUUACUCAUGUGAAUCUGGAGAAGAUUUCUCUUGCAUUUAAAAGAGAAAGAGAGAACUUUCCCCCCACAUACUCCUAAUUCAGUACCUCUCUAAUUCUGUGGAUAUAGUAAAUAGGGUUAAACCAACCCCGUGGUGUUCUUGUUUUAUAACCCCAAACAAAGCUCCCACCAGGCUCAAGAUCAGUGUCCAUCAAAACUGCUUUGAAGACUGCUCCCUAAUAAGAGGGUAUCUGACUCAAAUAUAACAAAACAAAUAAAUUAGUCUACAGGCCACUCUAUCCUCACUGCGUUCUGGUCCUCUCCCCUGUGAAAAUCAUCAAUUUGCCAUUACACUAGCCGUUACAAAAGGAUAUCCAGUGAGUUGCUUAAAACUGUUUUUCUUUUUUGUCGUUGUUUUGACCUGUUGUGAUUAAUUUUUUUAAAUAGAUUUUUAAAGUUAUUUCUGCUUAGGUAUAUGUUUCACUUUCUUUUGCCAUUGCAAAACUGAGGUUAAAAAUGUAACAGAGGAUCUGAGAAUAAAAGGUUUAAUGAUGUGAUCCGGUCCCUUGCAAAAGCCGAGUUUCACCAUAAGCUUUAAAUGGCUUGCUAAAUUCCAUAUUUCUAUCACCUCAUUGUUCUGCUUCUUCUGAUGAGACAAACAAAACGAGCACUAUCUUUUUAGAUACUUAAAAAACAUAUUCACAUUAAAGAGAAAA
rnacentral:lncRNA from 1 species